AAUCUUCAACCUAUAAACCUUUGCGGGUUUGUAGGCUUGGAUUUGGAGGCUUGUCGGCCUAACGGUCGGCUCCUCUUAAAUGCAUUAGCUUGAUUCCUUGCGGAUCGGCUCUCGGUGUGAUAAUUGUCUACGCCGCGACCGUGAAGCGUUUGGCGAGCUUCUAAUCGUCUCUUAUGAGACAACACAUUGAC
rnacentral:misc_RNA from 2 species